AAAAACUUUAGUUUCUCCCGACCAAACCCGCACUCCUCGUCGUCCUCCUCCGACAGAAUCCCCAGCUGCGCUGCUCCCCGCCGCCGUCGCUUCCCCGCUCCCCCGCCGCAGCUGCGCUGCUCCCCGCCGCCGCGGCUCCCCUGCUCCCCCACUCCCUCGCCGCAGCUGCCUCCUGCUCCGACGCCGCAGCUGCCGCUCGCCUGCCUCCCCAAGCUCCCCCCUUCCUCAUAAAAAUCUUCGAUUUCCCCAGCUUAAGCUCGACGACCCACGCGCCACCACAGGAGGAGGGAACCGAGGUCGGCGCCCCCUGCCAAUCUCCACAGCCUCCAGCGACCAACCCUAUCUCCUGCCCCCUGCAACUGGUCCUGCCAGUACGCCGCGUCCGCCGCCGGUGAAUGCCCUCCGCGAGGACUGCGCCUAGCCCCUCUUCUCCGGCGCUCCUCGGCCAUCCCCGACCCUCUGCUUGGUCGCCAGGGACGUGCUGCUCCGCGCCUGCUCCAGAAAUCCAGAAAUCCAAGAAUCUAGCUCGUAGGCACUCGCAGAUGAUUAUCGACGAGAAUCAGAAGGUCCAUUCGGAGCUGGAUUGCAAGAUGCAGGAUCUUGAGCUCAAAUCCAAGAAGCUUGAUGAGCUUGCUGUGCGUAGCGAAUCUGACAGAAGGAAUCUAGAGAAGGAGAAGGAAAAGAUUACGCUGAAAGAAAAGACCACCACAAAAUUGUUUCUGCAUAACACUCAUGUCAGGCCGUUGUGGUGAAUACAGAACAUGAUCAAAGCAAAAUAUCUCAAGAUGGCAACAUUGGAGCAACAGAAGACUGACGAAAAUGUCCUGAAGCUUGUGGAAAAACACAAGCACAAGCAUGGCCAUCCACCAACAUGCAAAACAAGUUCCAGACCAAAAAUAUGUGUUUCUUGCUGUUUACUCAACUGAACCAGAUUUGGGUUUUCAAGUUCCAAGGUUUCUGCUAACAGCAUACAGAUUAAAUUGAAAAGCUGGAUUCAUCUAAAUCAUGGACAGUUCAAAACCAAUUAUUUCUAGCUUGCUCCCUCCACCCCCCCUGAUAUCUACUGAUUUUUAUUCAAUUAACACUAAUCAUAUUCAGUUAACAGGAGCAGAGCAGUUCUUCCUGACGAACAAGAGCAGAGCAGCAACUCCCGUACACUGAUCAUAUUCAGCACAGGGAGCAGAGGAGCAACUCCUUACGGUACCUUCUUCCUCUUGACGAGCAGGAGCUCUGGCGGCAGCACGGGCAGACGAGCAGCAGCAGCACCGGCGGUAGGGGAGAAGCAGCCGCACGGGCGCGCGGGCAGGGGAGAAGCAGCCGCACGGGCUCGCGCGAAAGAUUGAGGAGGGCGCGCGGGCAGGGGAGAAGGAGGACGCGCGCGAGCUCCUGGUCCACCGGAUCGUGGAGGCAAUUUCCGGCAACGCCCGUAGGGGAUUGCGGCCGGGAUGAAUUGCGGCGGCGCACGCGCGGGAGCUCGAGGAGGAUGCACUGGAGCUUGAGGAGGAUGCGCUGGAGCUUGAGGAGGAUGCGCGGGAGCUCGAGGUGUACGCCCGCGAGCUCGAGGAGGACGUGGCCGGAGGUCCCGACGAUGCCCGCAGGUAAUCGAGGCGGGAGGGGAUCGCGGCGACGCAGGUCUGAGCGGGGGAGGCGGCGGAGCAGGUACUUGGCGACGGCAGCGGCGGAGCAGGUAGGUGGCGACGGCGGCGGAGCACUUCCUGAUGGGCGGCGAGUCGCGCAGCUGGGCGGCGCCGGCCCCUAUCGACGGCGGAGGAAGAAGACAGGGGGCGGAGGGGCUUGUUUCAGACAAUUUUAAAACUACAAGGGCUUUUUUGCAAAAUCAACAUUGAACUGCGCCCGCGACAUGUUUUUUGGGACGGAGGGAGUAUAUGAAUUGGACUGAACUGAGAGGCUAAGGCUAAGGGAAAUUUCUCCGUACAUGCUACUGGCUGAAAUACUAUCAAGCUUACGAUAAUCGCUUUAGGGCUGCACGAGUUAUUUUUGGCAGCACUUUGAUGUGUUAGACUCAAGAGUCAAGACCCUGAAGUUCAAAAUAUUUCUAGCCAUUGCUCUCCAGUCUCCAGAGCUUUAGCCAAGUCAAGCAGAUUUUGUAGCAAUUGCAUUUGCGAAGGAGUAAUGGUUUUAAUUCAACAAAUAAUUAGUGCCUUUCUGACUUAUAUCUGAAUUAUGUCCUUAUGAUGCACAUUCACCUUGCAUAAUGAAUAUACAAAAUUUCAGAAAACUGCCAGUAUAUUUCAGGAGGUAUAUCCUUCGACCUUCAGGUAACCCUAUGAUUUUAUUUGCUUGUACCUGUUUAGAGAUUAUAAUUUCCGAGGGUUGGUCACAGUCUCACAGAAAAGUUGUAAUCACCUAAUCAUAGUGCGGAUCCCUUCUAUAAAUUGGACUGAACUGAA